rnacentral:rRNA from 1 species
CACGGAGGAUGUGAGCGUUAUCCGGAUUUAUUGGGUUUAAAGGGUGCGUAGGUGGUUUAUUAAGUCAGUGGUGAAAGUUUGUCGCUCAACGAUAAAAUUGCCAUUGAAACUGGUAGACUUGAGUAUGUUUGAGGUAGGCGGAAUGCGUAGUGUAGCGGUGAAAUGCAUAGAUAUUACGCAGAACUCCAAUUGCGAAGGCAGCUUACUAGGCCAUAACUGACACUGAUGCACGAAAGCGUGGGUAUCAAACAGG